GUGUAAAAUGAAUGGUAAUAACAAGCCGCUACAGAUGGAAUUUUUAUCGAGACAAACAUUUGCAUCUCGUGAAAACGUUUCCGUGUGGACAGAGCGUCAAACUGACAAAAUUGGAAACGACGUUUUAGAAACGCUCGGAAACGUUACCGUGUGCACAUAGUCAAAGACUAUGUCUUUAUUCUGUGCUUAUGUGUUUUUCAUUCUUGUGUUAACCAAUCAGAACUCGAGUUUUGUUUAGGUUUCGGUUUCCUAGUCGCCGAUUGGUUCAAUUCGAGACGCGCAAACUUCCGGCAUUACCAUAAAAGGUUGGUCUUCAUGGUAUGUUAUUAAUCAGAUUAACGACCUGGCUUGCAAGAAAUGACUUGGACUUACAAGAAAUGACUUGUUACCAACACAAAGUCAAACAUAAAGUCGUCAAUAUCUAGUGAAAUUUAACGUCUCUAAAACUUGCAUCCUUUUCUCGUUGCAUUUGGCGUACCAUCUAAAAUCUCUUCAUUUUAGCAUAAUUUUACAGAUAAGCACAAGUUUCUUAAUCGCUUGAGUAAUGGAUCAAAAAUUUAAAAAUCGAAAUAUAGUCAUAACCAAGUGGAAAAGUGUAUCAUUAGUUUUGAGGCAUCAACUAUUUCGCUACCCUGGUUGCCAGAGGUUUUCAGGUUUUUAAAGAAUUUAUUACACAGGAACCCUAGCUGGGAAACUUUCUGAAGGCUCUGGAAUGGGGGGUACUAUUUCGCUGACCUCAGAAUGACAUUUCGUCAAAACUUUUUUCUUCAAGAUUGGUUUAGAAACAAAUUUGGAGUAGGGUUAGGUUAGGGUUAGGGUCAGAGUUGGUGUUUGGAGUCGGAUUAGUGUUAGUAAACCCGUUGCUUUGUUACGUUUUGUCACUCUGAGGCCAGCGAAAUAAUCUCUUCCUAGUUUUGAGCGCGUGUUACGUAACAUACAAAAGAUUACUUCUCCUCUUAAUUUAGGAUAAGUAAACUUUAGUCUUGGUUAUGCCAUAGUCAAGAUAUGAUGGUGUGGAGACUGAACACAAGUCAUUGUAUUCUGUUUUUAUCUGAGUUUAUGUUAAUUUGUGCAGGGUCACGGUGAUUGGGCUCAUUGUAUUUUCGUAGAAUGAAGUAAUCGUCCAAUAGGGAUAGCUGAGAUGAAACGUGCAACCACGAUGAAUAAUAUUUAAUAAAUAUUAGAAUGUUAGGGUUUGUAAUCCAAGUGAGUAUAUAUACAUUUUAAGACCUGAC